UACGAAGGGAGCUAGCGUUGUUCGGAAUCACUGGGCGUAAAGCGCACGUAGGCGGAUGUGUCAGUCAGGGGUGAAAUCCCGGAGCUCAACUUCGGAACUGCCUUUGAUACAGCACAUCUGGAGUCCGGAAGAGGUGGGUGGAAUUCCUAGUGUAGAGGUGAAAUUCGUAGAUAUUAGGAAGAACACCAGUGGCGAAGGCGGCUCACUGGACUGGUAUUGACGCUGAGGUGCGAAAGCGUGGGGAGCAAACAGG
rnacentral:rRNA from 1 species